rnacentral:rRNA from 1 species
UACGGAGGGGGCGAGCGUUGUCCGAAGUUACUGGGCGUAAAGCGCGCGUAGGCGGGUUGGUAAGUCCGCUGUGAAAGCCCGGAGCUUAACUCCGGAGGGUCGGUGGAUACUGCCAGUCUUGAAGGUGCUAGGGGGAGAUGGAAUUACCGGUGUAGCGGUGAAAUGCGUAGAGAUCGGUAGGAACACCAGAGGUGAAGACGGGUUGCUGGGCCGACACGUGACGCUGACAGCGCGAAAGCCAGGGGAGCAAACGGG